rnacentral:rRNA from 1 species
UACGUAGGGGGCAAGCGUUGUUCGGAAUUACUGGGCGUAAAGCGCGCGUAGGCGGUUUGGAAAGUCAGAUGUGAAAGCCCCGGGCUCAACUUGGGAACUGACAUUUGAUACUGCCAGACUAGAGUACAGAAGAGGUGACUGGAAUUCCCAGUGUAGCGGUGAAAUGCGUAGAUAUUGGGAGGAACACCAGAUGCGAAGGCGGGUCACUGGGCUGAUACUGACGCUGAUGCGCGAAAGCCAGGGGAGCGAACGGG